rnacentral:rRNA from 1 species
UGGCGGCAGGCCUAAGACAUGCAAGUCGUACGCGAACGACCUUUCGGGGUUAAGUAGAGUGGCGAACGGGUUAGUAACGCGUGGGAACAUACACAGCACAGGGGGAUAACCAUUGGAAACGAUGGCUAAUACCGCAUACGCCCUAUUGGGGAAAGAUUUAUCGGUGUUGGAUUGGCCCGCGUUAGAUUAGCUAGUUGGUGGGGUAAUGGCUCACCAAGGCGACGAUUUAUAGCUGGUUUGAGAGGAUGAUCAGCAACACUGGAACUGAGACACGGUCCAGACUCCUACGGGAGGCAGCAGUCGGGAAUAUUGUGCAAUGGGGGCAACCCUGACACAGCCAUGCCGCGUGAGUGAAGAAGGCCUUAGGGUUGUAAAGCUCUUUCAGAUGUGAGGAUGAUGACGAUAGCAUCAGAAGAAGCUCCGGCUAACUUCGUGCCAGCAGCCGCGGUAAUACGAAGGGAGCUAGCGUUGUUCGGAAUUACUGGGCGUAAAGGGCGUGUAGGCGGAUUAUCAAGU